AUUAUCCUACGGGGGGCAGCAGUGAGGAAUAUUGGUCAAUGGGCUAAGGCCUGAACCAGCCAAGUCGCGUGAGGGAAGACGGUCCUAUGGAUUGUAAACCUCUUUUGUCGGGGAGCAACGAGGCCACGUGUGGCCGAAGUGAGAGUACCCGAAGAAUAAGCGCCGGCUAACUACGUGCCAGCAGCCGCGGUAAUACGUAGGGUGCGAGCGUUAAUCGGAAUUACUGGGCGUAAAGGGUGUGCAGGCGGUUUUUCAAGAUG
rnacentral:rRNA from 1 species